CAGUAGCCGCGGGAAUACGUAGGUCCCGAGCGUUGUCCGGAUUUAUUGGGCGUAAAGCGAGCGCAGGCGGUUAGAUAAGUCUGAAGUUAAAGGCUGUGGCUUAACCAUAGUACGCUUUGGAAACUGUUUAACUUGAGUGCAGAAGGGGAGAGUGGAAUUCCAUGUGUAGCGGUGAAAUGCGUAGAUAUAUGGAGGAACACCGGUGGCGAAAGCGGCUCUCUGGUCUGUAACUGACGCUGAGGCUCGAAAGCGUGGGGAGCAAACAGGAUUAGAUACCCCCGUAGUCCCUGUCUCUUAUACA
rnacentral:rRNA from 1 species